CGCACGGGUGAGUAACACGUAUGGAACCUGCCCUAUGCGAGGGGGAUAAGCGGAAGAAAUUCCGUCUAAUACCGCAUAACACCAUUUGGAGACAUCUUCUUGGGGUCAAAGGAGGCGACUCCGGCAUAGGAUGGCCAUGCGUCGCAUUAGCUAGUCGGCGGGGGUAACGGGCCCACCGAGGCGACGAUGCGUAGGGGUUCUGAGAGGAAGGUCCCCCACACUGGUACUGAGACACGGACCAGACUCCUACGGAAGGCAGCAG
rnacentral:rRNA from 1 species